UGAAGCUGAAUCACAUAAAAUCAGAUCCCAAACAUUCACCAGUCCUCUGAACUAGUGUUUUAUAAUCUGGGUCUGUUCUACUACUUACCCGUUUCCUAGUUAAUAUAUGUGAAGUUAUGAACCUUCCUUCUCUCCCUUUUCUGCUUCAGUUGCCUAUCCAACACUUGCACAACUCCAUAAUCAUUCAAAUUGGUGAAGGAAAGUAAAAGGGCUGCACCAAAACAUUUAUAAAAGCUAAAUGCAGGGGUGUAAAAAACAUAGCCCAGAGAGGGUAGUUCUCUUGUAGGUAUGCCUAUUUUUAAUUUCUACCUUCUUUUUUUUUUGUAUUUUAUAUGCAAAAAAUUGGGAUUGUUUCAUUUGUUUUUAGUUUCUUAUAUGCUAUACUAUUUUUGGAAUUGAAUGUUGUUUUAUGAAUCUUGUUUAAUUGAAGUUUAGAUUUGAGAUUAUUUAGUGUGACACACCAGUUUGUCUAUAGAUUCCGCGGCAUAUCUCACAUGAGAUAUGAAUCUUUCUACUAAUUAGGUGAGAUUUUAAUUUUCAUACAUAUAUGCCAUUAGUUUAAGUAAAAAAUAGGUAAUCUUGGUCAAACUUGUAGAUUCUUUAGUGGGUUAAAGAACUUCUUAUAUAUCAUUAUCAAACAACUGGGUUUAUCUCCUAGUUGGUUAAUUUGAUUAAUUUAUUGUCUUCGUUUUGCAGUGCCUUAUGUAAUUCUUUUGGUUAUGCUAUGAUUAUAAACACACAAACGCGCAUGUACGUGGAAGUUAUUGUAGGUUGAUGAGAGAUUUGUCGAUAUCUGUUUUCAUUUUUCAAACUUUGUGCGAUAUGUUUGUUAUGGUGGAGGAGUGAGGGAUGGAUAGGGAAGAUGGAAAAGUGAAAGGAUGAAGGAAUUUUAUUGGAGAGAUGAUGGAAAAGAGAAGAUUGGGAGGAAGUGUUCCCAUGCCUACCACUUCUUGUCCGCACAAAAGUGGGUGGAAAACCGAGGGCAAGAAGGGAUCUUUGAGGCAGGAAGCAUAGUGUACUUAUAUUAUGUUUUUUGUGUAUGAAUAUUUGUGUUUAUUACAUAUAAAUCAGAUUAAAAUUUUAAUGUUUUGAUCCAAAUCUAUAUAUUAUGUCAUUCUACACUGUUUUUUUAUAUCAUCAUGUGAUAUUAUAUCUAUCAUAUUUCUCAUAUUUUAUUAUCUAACAAAUUAUAUAUAUCAGAAUUCCCAAUCUUCUCUUUCCUCUGCAUUACCAAAUACUGGAAAUUGACAUUCUUUGUAUUUCAUUACUUUAGCUCUUAUUACCUAACAACAUGACGAAUUAACACUUUUCCUUUCCUAGGGAAGAUAAAUCCUUCCUAUUUUUCAUCCUAAAACUUUUCUAUCCUCUUACCAAUGGACCAGUGCCUGAUAGAGACCUGAAUCUGCCAGAAGUAAAAGUGAUGCAGGAUGGGAAUAUAUAUAUAUAUAUAUAUAUAUAUAUAUAUAUAUAUAUAUAUUAGUACUUAUCAUCACAUGGAAAAUAGGAGAUGAAGAGAAUCUUUGUUGUUUUAUCAGGUUUUCAGAGUUUGGUAGGAGUAUUGACGUUAAAGUUUUGGACUUUUUCAGUCUUUUGGGGUAUAUGGACAGAACAAACCGCCAAAUUUUAGGGAUCAAUAUAUUCCUUUUCACUUGUUGAGGAACAGACCAUGCUUUUGGUCUCAUUGUGGCUAUUGUCAUAUGCUAUGUGUGCUUUUCAUGGUUCCGAAUUAUAUAGGGAUUAAAAUUUGAAUAUUUUCUUUUCCAACUUUUGGUUUUUUAGGGUGGUCUCCUUCUCCACCUUUGUGUACUUUUGUUUUCUCUCAACAAACUCUUCUUUUUAUCUAAUAAAAUAUCUGAAGCUUCAAUUUUUUAUACUAAAGUUUUAGCAAAGUCUCAUCGAUGCUUUAUAGGAGUAGAGGGUUGUAAUGAUCUAUAAGAUAUAAAGAACGCGUUGAUUAUGACCAAGACUGAAAGGGAUAAAGUGGACUAUCAUCUCAAAAAAAUGGAUGAACAUCCUGAAGGUACAGGACAUGUUGAACACUAAGCUAAGCUUAUGAGUGAUAAUUGUAUAGUUUUUUUGCUAUAGACAUAAAUACAGCUAAUUUAUCAGGUGCGAGUUGAAAAACAAGUUGGCAUAUUUUGAAGAAUUUUGUAUUCUAAUUCGCUGAUGAAUAUGAAAAAAAAGGAAAAGAAGAAGAAGAAGAGAACCAGAAGAUUUGGUACCUUCCUAUAAAAGAUUGACAUGAAGGGACCUUAACAGUUUUAGGUGGAGAUGGUUGAGUAAAUUUUUGGUAACUUUUUGGAUAUGGUUCUUCUUUCUGGCUUUCUGUUAAUCGAAAAGGAUUGAAAGUAAUUAAUUAUAUAUUUAGAAUAUAAACUAUAGUUUGCAGAGUUUAUCUUAUUAAAAGUUUGGUUUCUGUUUUUUAAUUAUAACCACUCCUGAAUAUAUAUGUGAACUAACAAUAAAAUGUGAAACAUGAGGGGAUAACAAAGUUACAUGGGAGAUAUGUGUGUGAUAUUUAUGCAUGCACAGCGUGGCAUCUGGUUCAAAAGGUUGCCAUCUAUGUUUAGUAAAAUCUAUUAUGAAAAAAAAUAAAUUAAAGAAUAAAACUGGUUAUAACAUUCAAACUUAAUGAUUAGCUAUAUAAUUCUCAUAAGAUGAAAGACAUAAAAUAAACUCUAUAUCAAAUUUAAGGGAGAACCUAAGAAAUUUCAUGGCUAACUGAACACUAAAGCUGGUUAACGUGGGAUAGUAUAAUGUGACAUUUUAGUUAUUAAAUUUACUAUAUGCGAACAACACGACCAUUGAUGAAGUUUAACCCAACUAGCUAACAAUUAAUUAUAAUAUCAAAACAUUUAAGUGCAGUAGGUAGCAUUACGAGUUUCUUACCAGCAAUACUUUCCAUCUGAGUGCAGUCAGUUAAGGAUGAUACCAUACAUUCGGACCUAGAACUGUUGUCUGUACCAUCUUUGGAGGAAGCUGAACAAUUCUGAAAUUUCACUACUUCCCCUCCCAGAUUUGACUCUUUCUGAUUUAGAACUAUUACAGGAAUAGCUGGCUUCUCAUCAAGAGGUAAUUUUUUCCGUUUACUGCUUUUAUAAUUUCUAUGUUUAGGAACAUAGGCAUUAAGAUUUCCUUUGAUUUUCCACCUUGACCCACAUGCAUUGCACAGUACUGGCUUUUGAGCUGGUCCACGUCUCCAGAUUAGAGAGUCUGUUCCAAUUUAAUAUACAUCAGUUAUCGAUAUGAAGAAAAAACAACAGUGAUUGAAAUUCAAGACACAUACAGGAAAAAUAUGUGGUGACAACGGAGACUAUAAUAUAGAUAUACUACGAGAAAGGCUUGUCGUGAGAGUAAAUUAGAGGCCCAAGGUCCCUUUAAAGUAAUCAAGUGUACAUAUAUUUCACUGGAACAUUAUUAGUCCUAUCAAUAUAUUCUACUUUUAAAUAUAUUUUCAUGUAUUUGAAGUCUGUCAACAUUUGUAGCUGAAAUAGGUUUAGCACAUAAAUAAAGCUAAAAUUAGCUUAUAAAAACCUAGAUAGAUCCUAAGGGGUUCUACCAUGAGAAGAGAAUUCAGUUGAGGUUCUUCAUGAGAAGGGGGUCAGUGAUUCUGCUAAACUGAAUCAACUGGAGAUUUUACAUUUAAGCCAAUAUAUAGCGAGGACAAAUCGCAUAUUUAAUGGACUGUAAAAACUUUCCAUUUGUUUUCAGGCCUCUUAUUGUAAGUUGAGUUCAUUUCAUUCCAAUGAAAGAAAACAAGGAUAGUAGACUUCACCUAUCUUUAUAUUUUGCGUUUUAGUUCUACUUUAUGAGUUGUAAAUAAGGCCUCAACUCUACUAUCAAGAGUACCAACAAUUUGUCAUGAUUUUGUGUGGACCUGUGGUGGACCAAGAUGACCCAAAUGGUGCUCUUAGGAUGUGGGUUGAGCCUUAUAUUGGGCUCGGGCUUAGGCCCAGGUCGGUACAAAUGAUAUCAAAGUGGUAACUAUUAUUGGUGAAGCCUGAUUUGAACUUUCAUUUGGAGGUGAUUAUAAAGCUACCCAAAAGGUAAUUGGGUCUGUUCUUGGAGCGGAGGACAGCGGAGGGACCGGUAGGUCCGAAGUUGUUCUUAUAUUAUGUUAUAUAAGUAGGGGAUCCCGUAAUUGUAAGAUGUAUGAAAUUUUCAAAAGAUAGUGAAACUGAUCGGCCGCUGACUGUGGACUAGCCCAACAUUUGGGUGAACCACAUAAAUUUUUAUGUCUUGUGUGAUUGUUUUCUUUCGUUUUGAACAAAACUGUAGUUGUGGGCGUAUCAUCCUCGUCAGAGAUUUAAGUGGGGGAGAUUGUAAUAUGCUAGUCCUACAUUAGAAUAUGUGAGAUGGAUCCAUAACUUGUCAUGGCUUUUGCAUGAGCUUGUUGUUGGCCAAGAUGUCCUGAUUGAUGCUCUUGAGACGUGGAUUGCUUUAGGAUUGGUUUAAGUCGUUAAGGCUUGGGUAGUUACACUAUGUACUUAAAUAUAACUACAGGUAUUAAAUUUUUGUACCUUUGGCAGAACUAAAUCAAUACAUGUCCCGUGUUUGUCCUAUUUCUUUUCUAAUCAAUUUUUUUGAAAUCAAAUAUUUCAAUUCACAUCAUUAUGUUUCGUAUGAUGCUCAAAACUUAAAUAUCCAACAUUGGCAAAAAUGUACACAUCGACUUGCAUGAAAGCAUGCAUAUGAUAAAAGAAAUAUAUUUAAAUUAUAGAUUUCUUCCUUAUAUUGAAUAGAUUUCCAAGAAAAUUAAAAUUAUCUUUAUAUGAUUUUAAGAAAUCUUUAUAUGCAUUUUUAGGGAUAGAUUGUCUUCCCUUCCAUUUCCUUGGGUUUCAGUGAUGUUGCUUUUGUGGGGUUUCUCUUUUCACCAAGUUUUGUGUAGUCCUGAUGACUUUGUUCCACUAGCUAUAUUUUCUUAGGUAGACCUCUUGUCUCUUAUGACGAAUAUUUAUCUUUAUCUAUCUAAAAGAAAGGAAGUUAUCAUGUAUAUUUUUAAUUAAUUAGAAAAUCUUUGAUGAUUUAGGGAGACCAAAAUAACGGGAUCUAGCAAAUUUCUCUUCAUCAAUGGAUUAAGAUGACGUUAUUCAAAUUCUCCAAGAAUGUAUUGUUGAACUCAGGAAAUAGGCAAGGAUUAAUAGCAAUCUACGUUGAGUUAGGUUGCUUAUUAAGGUGAAAGACUAGGGUAAUGUGUAAGGUUCUAAAAUUGACUUAUGGGGCAGUGUUUGCGGUUAUUCUAGGUCUAUGAAUAGCCUAAGAAAAGAAAUUGAUCUUUUUUUCCUUGGGGGNNNNNNNNNNNNNNNNNNNNNNNNNNNNNNNNNNNNNNNNNNNNNNNNNNNNNNNNNNNNNNNNNNNNNNNNNNNNNNNNNNNNNNNNNNNNNNNNNNNNAAAAUAACAUUCCAGGAAAUAACAUUUUUUGUAAGUUAGGGUUUUUAGGUUAUAGUUGAAAGAAGACAAUAGACUAAGAAGAAGAAAGGACCCAAAUAAAAAUGAAAGAGAAGAUAGAAUUUAGAAUUCUAUUAGGUCACGAUAAAAUCACAAGAAUUCUCAAAUUUCAAUUUUUCUUCAAUAGUUACUAGAUUGCAUUAUAGGCUGUGGGAUUAGUGCUUAUAUAAUUAUUUUAUUUAUGGGUAAGUUGCACCUGUGACUAAUGUUAGAAAAAUAACAUCACGUCGAAAACAAUAGCAAAGAGAAAUCGAAAGCAAAACAAUAACACAAGACAAAAUUUAUGUGGUUCGCCCAAAGGUUGGGUUACUCCACGGUUGGUGGCAAGCCAGUGCCACUGUCUCAGAAAAGCAGACAUAUUAUAGUGCAGUAUCCCCUCCUUAUAUAAUGCAAUGCAAUAUAAGUACCCUAAUUCACCUCGAAAGUACAAUCACCUCUGAAUCAAAGUCGGAUCUGGCUUCACCAAUAACAAAUAAUGUAUCCAAAAGAGUAACAUUAAUGAAUAUUUAGCCACCCAAAUACAAUGCAGAGAAAGUUCAACUCAAGCAUAAGAAUAUAGUCAGUAUACAUAGGGGGAUUAGUCCUCUCCUCCACCACAUUCCACAAAAAAGUAAAAAAAGAAAAAGAAAAACCUUAGUGCAAAUGCAUCGAAGAAAUUCAAAACUCAAUACAUUGCUUGUAAAGGCCAUGAUGGUGCCACAAGAAAACUAUACUCAACAUCAAAGAAUGAACUUUUUAUAUUUCGAAAUCAGUAUACUCAAAACAUCUUCUAAUCCUGUCCCUCCAAAUCAACUCAACCACAUUAGGCAAAGAGGAGAUGCAUUCGGUUUCUUUCUGAUCUUCUUACUGCCUGGAACAACAUUGCAACUGAAUAUGGACCCUAUGAUCAAACAAGGCAUUACCAACUCAUACCAAAAAGACUAUAGGGUAUUUUUCAAAUUCCAAGGCACUACAAAAUAAAUUAAAAGAUGGUUCAUGGUCGCCUCGUCCCUCAAUACACACUACAGGCAUAGUUGUCACGGCGCCAAGGCGGGACGCGGCGGUAGUUGACCGCCAAGACGCCUAGGCGAUAAAGUGUCCGCCAUGACGUCCGUAUGACGACCAGUCAUUAACAAUGUGCAAUUUAUACAUUAUUUAUUUUAUUUCAAAAGUAUAUUACACAAUAAAAUUUUAUAUACACUAAAACCCAAAACAUAAUAAUUAACACAGUCUCUACUCUGUUUCUAGUCAUAGCUCAAGCAAAGUCAUCAACUAUGAAGUCAUUUCCGUCUCCCUCGUGAGCAUUAUUCUCAUUCAAAGGAGUAGGGUCAUGGGUUGAGUUACUUAGGUAAUUAAAAAAGUCUAUGGGUUAUGAUGAGUCAUGGUAAAAAAGGAAUUAAUCACUUAACUUAGGCCCGCUACCAAUGCGUGAGCCUUGGCGGCUAAGCGUUCAAGGCGUUUCUUUACCCUUCUCCAACGCCAGGACGCCAUGACGACGCCUAGACGACGCCAUGACAACUAUGACUACAUGUAGCCAGAACUUUUCUACCCUUCCUCUAUUUAUUGAUAUGAAUAUCUCUCAAUGCAAUCGAGCAUAGGAGGCUAUCAGUUUCCAACUACUAAAGGAAACUUUGCUGACCCCCAAACUUCUUCUAACAGUUUUGGAUGACUUGCUGAAAUUUCAAUUGACUUGCCUACUCACCCCAAAAUAUCUCCUAGUUUCUUGGUUUAGUCUUAUUGUUCAUUCAUAUAUAGAGGACUUGAACAAUAAUGUUGAAGAGAUCAAAUAGAUUAUCUGAUGUCAAACCUUAUAACUUUUAGGUAUAAUAUAAUGAAAUAUUGUACUUAUAAAAAUUGUCAAACCUUAUAACCCUUGGGUAUAAUAUGAUUAAAUACUGUACUUAUUAUAAAAAAUAUGACUACUCUAGCAGCACUCUUAACAUGCUCAAUUAUAUGUUAAAAAAUUAUAUCAAUUAUUUUCGGAAAAUUUGUAACUUUUUUUUACAAGGGUUAUAGAAUCUCCUCUCUUUCUCUCUUUUAUGUGUAUGUGUGAUUAGUUGCGUCUUUCGAGAAUCGAGACAACACUUGUCGUUUCUGUAAGGAUAAAUCUUGUACUUUAGAAGUCAUAGGGUAUGUUUGAGAUAAAAGGCGUUGUUGAGCUGAGUUGUAGAAGUUAUAGAUUACAAAGAAUGUAGGUUUGGAGUUGAACUCUAUAUACGGUAAGGAACAAGGAUGGAAUGGCCAAUGAAGUAGGAAAGAGAGGGCGACCACAUGAGGUAGGGUUUCUUGGCCUGUCAGUCAAAAGAUCCCCAUCUUAUACAUAUAGAGGGGGAUUUAUAGAUGUAUGUCUUAGGGCAUUUAUAACUGUACAAAGAAUUUACUGUCAAGAUUUGUAACAUUGGCAAGGACAUUCAUAGCAAAACUAAAUCCUAGCAAUUGGGAGAAAAAUGUUUCCUUAAACUAGUUAGGGAAUCCAAAAGCAGAUAUAUUUAUAAUAGAUAAUCAGUUGUCAACCAAGAAACAAUAAACCAAAGUUGAUUCUUCAUUCGAAAACCAUAAACACUUGAGUAUCGGUAUCUAUUUAAUGGACCAUAUAUUAAGUGGAAGAUAAAGAUAUAUUAACUAAGGAAAAGUGAAUCGAAAGAGAAUUUGGUAAUAGGAAGAUGAAGUACACAAGUUAAAAGAACAUUCACCUUCAAUCCCACAAUGGGAACAAGGUCCUUGUCUGCCCAUGAAAACUGAUCUCUUUGAAUUGCGUCAACUUAUCUUAUCUCAACUCCUCAAUAGAGAAAUCUAGUUCUACUGCAAAGAAAACCAAGAAUUAAGUGCACUAAUAAUAAAAAAUCAAAAUUUAGAACAGUUAGUAAUUGUGAAAUCUCAAAGAGAAAGUAAAAAGAAAUAACUUUGCCUUAAAAAGCUAUAAAUGUGCUGCUCAUUCUAGGGUAUGAAAAAGAGAAAAAAGGGGGAGGGGGGUGGGGUUAAAAAAGCCUUGUAUGUGAGAAGAGUUUGAAUAAAAAUCACGUGUAUAUAUAGAAGUAAUAAAAAAAAUCAUAUAAAUGUAAAAUUUAUUUCAUUCUGUAGUUGGUACCUUUAGACUUCUACUCUUGCUUUUGAUGCUCAAAAGAUGCUAGAAAUAGGAAGAACAAAAAGAAGCACCCCAUACACAAAUGGAGGACUUCCUUCAAACAUAACUUGGAAAGAGCUAUUUGCACAAACACAACUAAUGGAAAAAUUGAUGAGAUUUAAAAGCAAGCUUUGAUUGAGAACGCUUGGGAAUUAGAAGAAAUAGAAAAGAUGGGUAAAUUAAUGCUUUUGUCCUUCUCUAUUAAUAGUUCAAAGUUCUUCAAAAUCUUGCCCUUCACAAAUUAAAGUAUGGAUAUUUCAGACUUGGUAAGUGCAUCCAGGUAUCUUUAAUCCUAGUAUUUGCACAAUUAAUUUGAGUGUAAUCUAGCCCAUUCAAGACAAUGUUACCUUGCUUCCAGAUUGAUGGUUUGUCCUUGUAAAUGUGUUACACAAUUCAGGUAAAUAAUAAUGACUAAUGUUGUGUGAUAAAAUUUAUAUUUUCUUGAACUAAUCUUUUUUAAGGUUUUAGUAAUUUGUUGGUGUACAUAUUAAAUGCCAGCUGUUAUGCAGUCAUCAACAGUUUUCUUUCACUUAAUCUUUCCCCCGCCCAAUUGCCAUCAAAAAAAAUUUUAUGCGACAAUAUUCGCAUAAUGUAUUAAUGUGUAUGAUAUAACUUUUGACCUACAGAGUUGAAUAGAGGUAAAAAUCUCAUUUAUUGUGUUCAAAGUUGAUAAGAAUAAUUUAGAUGUGCAUUAAUUGCUUAAAAGAUUAUUUUGUCAAGUUUCCUCAUGCUGAAAAUGGAAAUUUAUCUGAGGGAGUCUAUGUUAAUUACUUUAAUAAUUUCUAUUUAAUUGCUUUAGUUCCAUUCUUUAUUAAGCAUUUAUGACAAAUCAUGAAUUCAUGAUAAUACUUGAAUAUAUUCGGAUAGAUAAUAAGAUUUUAUUGAUAGAGAAGAGAGAAUAAAAGUAUAUAAAUUUGCAUAAAAAGACAGAAAUGUAAUAUAUUUAUAUAUGAUUACAUAAAUCGUAUCUGGAGAUAACAACUUCAUUCUUUUGACUCGUUAAAGUGAAAGGUAAGGUAAUAUUUGCUUCAUCCCAAUUAAGUGUCAUGCUUUGUUUUGGAUGUCCCAAAUUGUUUUAGUUUUGCAAAUCCAAAGAAAUGCCAGUACAAAUGAACCAUAGUCCCCCUUUUGGAGAAUAGAUAUAAUAGUAUGUGCUCAUUCUCAGCGACAAAUUUCCUUGUACAUUUACUUCAGGAAGGGUAUGAAUGAACAAGUUCAAAAUUUUCUUUUGUUAACUAUGUGCAUGUUUACUAUGAAACCUACAAUUUGGGACAGAUGGAGUACUUAACUAAUGAAAAUCAUAAAUACUUUACUGACAUCUUAUGCACAUAUUUUUAAUGGCCAUGUCUUUAGUUGUUUUUCAAUUGUUUUGACUCUUAUAUCGAGUACAAAUAAGAAAAUGUCUUAAAAUAUUUUAACCGUCACUUUAAACUGCUCGAUAAAGAAGCAUACAAAUAGGUUUAACUGAAGGUAGUUGAAACAAAAACCUUGUUGACAAAGUUUUUCUCUAUAUCUACCGCCCCUUCAGUAGUAAACCGCAUCUUGGUUGAAAAAUCAAAUUUUCUAGUAUAAGAUUCUGUUGAGGAAAUAACACUUUAUUCUGUGUAAUACAGGUUCUGUAUUUUUACAUUACUCCAUCUGUCAAAAUGAGAGUCCACUUUUAAAGCCAAAUAUAUACUCAUACUUUUACUUUGACAUAGUCAAUGACUUGGUCACAACUUAAUUAUAAUAAGAGUUGGUACAUUAAUUUUUAGAGUACUCUCAUAUGGACGGAGGUUUUAUCAGAUGGAUUAGGUUCAUAUCCAUAUAUGCACACCAGAUGCAGAAUUAGGAGAAGACUACCCUAAAUCUAGCUAAGAUGCUUAGGUAUGACGUUUUGAUAUAAAUCUAAACUGAACAAUAUUCCGUGAAUGAGGCAAACCAUUAUUCAUUUGCACUCCACUUGAGUUUUAGGUACCAGAAAUUGAUUUCUUGUACAUCUUAAUCGAAAUAGACUUAUUUUGUUCCAGAAGUACUUGAUUAACUUAACAAAAAUCUUUAUUCUUUAAGUUAUCAAGUCUUUAAAGAAUUACCAAUAUGAGGCUUUAAGUUGUUUGCGAUAAAUUUAGUAUUUUUUGUGCUACUGUAGAAGUAUGCUUUUCUUUCGUGAUAGAGCAAAAAUUGUUGCACGAAACAAACUCACUUUUGGCUGGCAAACAAAAGCCAGUGUUUAUUAGAUGAGCCAUAUGUAUCACAAUGAGAGCCUCCUAGUCUUGGAAAAUCUGUAUUCCUCCUUCAAAUUCAAUCUGUAUGCACUGUCUAGUUACCUCCUACAGUCUUUCAUCAUUGAUGCGAGUUGAUUGGGAGUGCAGAACAAAGAAUAAUCUUGAUCUAUUAUGUUGCACUAUAUGCUGGUGAUCAAUCUUCCGAAUGCAUUUUCCACAUUCCCCCCCCNNNNNNNNNNNNNNNNNNNNNNNNNNNNNNNNNNNNNNNNNNNNNNNNNNNNNNNNNNNNNNNNNNNNNNNNNNNNNNNNNNNNNNNNNNNNNNNNNNNNUUUUCUCUGUGAUUAUGGUACUUUACCUUUUACACUUUCUGAGCUUAGAUGAUCAUCCCUGUAUUCGACACUGCUAUAUGCUUGAAAAUUUGUUGAAUACUUAAUUUUGUCAUAUCAUAAUGGCAGACUUGUAGUGUUCAAUUGAACUCCUCCUCCCCCCAGAAGAGUCCCAUUCGCAAAAUUCGCAAGUAUUAAGAUGUAUUUUUGUUCUAUAUGUAUCUCCUUAAGAUAAGAAGGUGUUUAUUUAGUUGUGGUGGCAUACUAAUGCAAUUUCUCGUCGCUGCAUAAUAUGCAGAUAUACAACCGAAAGCAUCAUAUAUGUCAAGAUACUCUUGAACUUACAAGCAGGAGAUGAAAUCGCUAGACUGCAAAACCCUUGUUCCACAUGAAGCAACUGGGAUAAAGGGCAGUGGCUGUGCAAGGGCUUCGUGUGUUUCUGUUCAGUAAGCUAGAUUAAUUAGUUCUUGACAAGAAUUUUGGACCUUCAUCUAUAUUCUGGUGGUUUUAUUCCCAUUUUGUCCUAGGCAACUGCAGCCUGUAAUUUGAAAUUAUGAUUUUUCAGAAUUUUGUAGAUUCACAAGAUAUUAAUAAAUUUCAAUUUGAAUUGUUGUCUAUAAGAUGAAAGUGAAAGGUAGAACAAUUUUUGC
rnacentral:lncRNA from 1 species